AACAGGAUUAGAUACCCUGGUAGUCCACGCCCUAAACGAUGUCAGCUAGCUGUUGGGGCCGUUAGGCCUUAGUAGCGCAGCUAACGCGUGAAGUUGACCGCCUGGGGAGUACGGUCGCAAGAUUAAAACUCAAAGGAAUUGACGGGGACCCGCACAAGCGGUGGAUGAUGUGGAUUAAUUCGAUGCAACGCGAAAAACCUUACCUACCCUUGACAUGUCUGGAAAGCCGAAGAGAUUUGGCCGUGCUCGCAAGAGAACCGGAACACAGGUGCUGCAUGGCUGUCGUCAGCUCGUGUCGUGAGAUGUUGGGUUAAGUCCCGCAACGAGCGCAACCCUUGUCAUUAGUUGCUACGCAAGAGCACUCUAAUGAGACUGCCGGUGACAAACCGGAGGAAGGUGGGGAUGACGUCAAGUCCUCAUGGCCCUUAUGGGUAGGGCUUCACACGUCAUACAAUGGUCGGGACAGAGGGUCGCCAACCCGCGAGGGGGAGCCAAUCUCAGAAACCCGAUCGUAGUCCGGAUCGCAGUCUGCAACUCGACUGCGUGAAGUCGGAAUCGCUAGUAAUCGCGGAUCAGAAUGUCGCGGUGAAUACGUUCCCGGGUCUUGUACACACCGCCCGUCACACCCAUGGGAGUGGGUUUCACCAGAAGUAGGUAGCCUAACCGCAAGGAGGGCGCUUACCACGGUGGGAUUCAUGACUGGGGUGAAGUCGUAACAAGGUAACCA
rnacentral:rRNA from 2 species